UAUAUUUAUGUAAGUAUGCUGUAUUUAUGUUCAACAGAUACACAUUUGCACAAGCAUAUUCUCUUUACAGUAGUUACAGCAUGGAAGCUGUAGAAUGUUAUAUAGUCCCCUCUGUGAGAGAAAGAAAAAUUCAUUAUUUGUAUAGAAGUUAAAGGGUGAUAAAAACCGAAGAAUUGAAUUUUAGAAGCAAAAAAAUCAACAAACCAAACAGAAAAUGGUGAAUAUAAUUUUUCUUGCUGUAAUUUAUUGAGAUCAAGAAAAUGAACGAAAUUAAUGAAGCACAAAAAUUGAAACUUUCCAGGAGUUUUGUUUUCCUUUCAAAAUAGUAGUUUCUAUUUUCUAUUUGUUUCUAGUUUUCAUCUUUUUGUUUUAGAGUUAUUUUUACUGUCCAUCAAAUAUAACAAGCUGUCAAUCAGUGACAUUUUGCAUUUUCCUUUAGCUUUUGUUUUAUUAUAUUUUUAAUUCCAAAUUAUACACCUUCCGACUUUUUAAGUUUUCAUAGUACUGUCAUUAUAUUAAAAGAUUAUGAAAACACUCA